rnacentral:rRNA from 1 species
UAAGGAAUAUUGGUCAAUGGACGCAAGUCUGAACCAGCCAUGCCGCGUGAAGGAAGACGGCCCUACGGGUUGUAAACUUCUUUUGUACGGGAAAAAACCACCGGUCGAGUAUCGGUGCUGAUGGUACCGUAAGAAUAAGCAUCGGCUAACUCCGUGCCAGCAGCCGCGGUAAUACGGAGGAUGCAAGCGUUAUCCGGAUUCAUUGGGUUUAAAGGGUGCGCAGGCGGAAUGAUAAGGCAGUGGUGAAAUCCUAGAGCUCAAC